rnacentral:lncRNA from 1 species
CAAGCCAAUACAAAGUUGACUGCAAUCAUCAUUUCAUCUCUGCCAUGAACUUUUCAUAUUCUGCAUCUGUGCCAUAGGGAGGUUUCUCUGAAGAUGAUGGUGGAGGCGGAGGUGGAGGUGCAGGUGCAGGUUCUGGUGGAUUUGAGGCCCAGGGAACAUUGCUCAUACUUUGUGAAUGAUCCACAUUGGACUGUGAUGCAGUUGGAGGAGCUGGUGGUGCCAUGCCAUAAUAAGAAGGAUAGCUGUAUGAAGAUGUUGGGUAUGCAGGUUGGGCAUUGUGUGGCAUUGCAGUGACAGAAUUGCCAUAGGCAUAGUUGGGAAGAGAUUGAACAGGUGCACCAUUAUGUGAUUGCACUCCAGGAGGAUAACUUUGUUGUGUCUCGCCAGAAGAGGUGUAAUUUUGUUGGUUUUCACCAGAAGAAACGGUUUGAGCAGGGACACCAGAAGAUGGCGGUGGCAUCGGUGGAGGAUACUGUGCACCAUAUGGAGGUACAAAUUGACCUGGACCAGGAGAAUACAUGGUUGAGCCAGGAGGAGGAGGCGGGUAAGAAGCAUAUGGUGGAGGUACAGGUGGUCCCCAAGGAACUGGAUUCCCAGCAUAGCCACUAGGGGGAGUAGUGCCAAUGGGACCACCAGCCGCGUACUGCUGAGACGGAUAGAGUCCAGCAACCUGAUGAGGAACAGGGUAUGUGGGCAUUGCUGGAGCACGAGGGCCCGGUGGCACAGUAGGCUGAGGGGGUUGACCCGCAACUCUCACAGCAAUAGUUCUCCCUUCAAGACAAUGACCAUUCAUGCCUGCAAUAGCACUAUUAGCUUGUUGAGCAUCUGCGUACUUAACAAAACCAUAACCUUUACUAAGACCACUGAGACGAUCCUUUAUAACUUUAGCCAUCACAAUAGUACCAAAGGGAGAGAAUAAAUUAAUCAAACCAUCAUCAUCCAGAGUAGGGGGGAGAUAACCAAUAUACAAGUUUGUCUCAUCAUACUCUUUUGGCUUGAUUAUAUUUGACCCUAAUCCAGGGUGUGACGUGUUACCACCACCACCGGCAUUAUUACUGCUGGCCCAAGGAGGAUUACUGCCUGUGCUUCCAGGACCAAGAGCUAGGGUCGCUGAGCUCUGCUUAAUUGACGAUUCAGGAACCGUGCCUCCCAAUUCUGCCAAGAAGUUCUGAUACUCAUCAUCCAUUUUCUUUCCAGUAGUAUUUUUCACUGGACAAUCUAUAGUGGGAUGUCCCCCAUCACCACAUAUUUUGCAGAGAACAUCACUCUUAAACGUGGUGGUGCGAGAAGGACAAGCAUACUGCCUAUGACCCGGUUCACCACAUAGCCUACAAAACUCCUCAUCUCUAAUCGUUCCAUUCAGCGCUGCAAGUUCCCUGAGUUGUUGCCUCUUAUGCUCAUUAAGUACUUCAUCGACAGGUUGUAAAAGCUUCUCCAACAUAGCUGCAGCCGCCUCAAGCGACUCCUGGGUAUCAGCUUCCACUAACACGUGUAAAUCCUCAUUCUCUGCAGGAUCAUGCUUCAAAUUCCCCUUCUGUUGUAACCUCCCCUCUUUAACCGACCCUUUCCCUCGAAUCACAAUCUUCGCUCCCGUCUCCUUCUCCAUCCUCUUUUGAGUAUUCCCUCUCGGCCCAAUAAUCAGCCCAAUAAAAUUAUAACCUGGGUACUCCUUCAUCGGAAUGUAAAGCUUCUUCUGAAGCUUAGGAGGCCUAUAAUCAGCUGGUGGCUUAAAGGCAGGAUUUUUCUUUAUUAUCUGCGAUAUAAUCUCUUGUCUCUCCCUAUUCAAUUUCUCUCGGGCAC